rnacentral:lncRNA from 1 species
CCCAAGUAGGCAGAGAGAGGCAGGCAGAGAGAGAGGGGGAAGCAGGCUCCCUGCUGAGCAGAGAGCCCGAUGCGGGGCUCAAUCCCAGGACCCUGAGAUCACGACCUGGGCCAAAGGCAGAGGCUUAACCCACUGAGCCACCCAGGCGCUCCUACCUGCCACUUUUUGUGGUUUCUUUGAGGUCUGCUUAACUCACGGCCACUCACCUGCCAUUCUGAUCUUUUGUCCCCUUAGUGUGUGUGUGUGUAUGUAUGUAUGUAUGUAUGUAUGUAUGUAUGUGUGUGUGUAUGUGCGCGCACGUGCACAUGCUCCUGCUUCUGCGUGGGCACAUGCCCACACAGACACACACACACACCCUGUGACAGGAAUGUCUCUCACACACAAGCCCUCCUCUCCCAGCCUCGGGAAGGCCUGGGGGCUUUCUCAGACUGUUCUCACACCCCUGAGGGGGCCUCGAACAGACCCAGGACAGCGCAGAAAGGAUUUUAAAACGGCCUCUGCUCUGGAGAGAUAAUCAGUAACCACAAACAGUCACCUAUUCUUACAGGUCUGUUAAUGAUUUCUAGUAAAAUAAAACUUACUUUACCAACGUUAAAGGAGACCUCGGGACUAAAUUUUUGGAAUCUGAAGUGCCGAGUUCGGAGUAUAAACUUUGCCUUCUCUUGGAAAACAGAUGAUUUCGACGAAGGGAGGGAUUAUGUUGCUUUCCGAGCCCCCUUUGGAAAGAUCUCCAUGUGUGCUACGGCCAGAGUAAAAGCUCCUCCUGGGAGGCCUGUCUCUGGCUUCAAGACGGAAGCUCUGAAGAUGCGAUCAAGUGUGGGUAGGGAUUCUAUGUCAGAUGUGUCCAGUCCCUCUGAAAAAUCCGGGUUUUCAGAACAGGGAGGGGGAGAAGAAUAUUCUAGAAGAGCUUCCGUGGAGGUGGCACUCAGCCUGAGCACAUUCUGCAUCGGUCCUUCCAGAGACUCCUAUAUCUGA